GACGAACGCUGGCGGCGUGCCUAAUACGCACGUAGACCGCUGAAGAGAGGAGCUUGCUCUUCUUGGAUGAGUUGCGAACGGGUGAGUAACGCGUAGGUAACCUGCCUUGUAGCGGGGGAUAACUAUUGGAAACGAUAGCUAAUACCGCAUAACAAUGGAUGACACAUGUCAUUUAUUUGAAAGGGGCAAUUGCUCCACUACAAGAUGGACCUGCGUUGUAUUAGCUAGUAGGUGAGGUAAUGGCUCACCUAGGCGACGAUACAUAGCCGACCUGAGAGGGUGAUCGGCCACACUGGGACUGAGACACGGCCCAGACUCCUACGGGAGGCAGCAGUAGGGAAUCUUCGGCAAUGGGGGCAACCCUGACCGAGCAACGCCGCGUGAGUGAAGAAGGGUUUCGGAUCGUAAAGCUCUGUUGUAAGUCAAGAACGGGUGUGAGAGUGGAAAGUUCACACUGUGACGGUAGCUUACCAGAAAGGGACGGCUAACUACGUG
rnacentral:rRNA from 1 species